rnacentral:scRNA from 1 species
UUGGAUAUUAAUGGCAAAGGCUACAAACGCAUCGCC